GACUAAUUGCAGUCGUUAACAAUCGUCAACAGGUUUACCAUAUACCCACUGAGUCAAUCACCCAUCUGAGAGAUCUUUCUUCUUCUUUGGUGAUCACUCGUAGCCAAGUAAGAUUGUCUUCUAUGAACAUGGUCUUAAUGGUUAGUCCAUAAGUGACUGUGGAGGCCAAUUCUAGAUCCACACAUCCUUCUACAGUGGGGACAUAGGUUUCCGGGUGGGAGUUGAUCACGGUGAAGGUUUGCCAAACAUGCCACCUUCUUAGCACGUUUCUACCUUUCAUCCUGAGUCUGAGUGUCUUCAAAGCCCAUGACACCUUUGGUAAAGGCUGUUCUUUAGUUGGAGCGCUUGCAGGCCAGUGUUUCCCAAUUGUUGGUGUUUAUACUACAUUUUUUUAGAUUUGCCUUGAGAGAGUCUUUAAACCUCGUUUGUUGACCACAAGCAUUACUAUUUCCAUUUUUAAGUUUGGAAUAGAGGCAUCUGAAUAAAGCUGAUGUUGAAGAAUCAUUGCUUUGACACUUGUGAUCUUUGCUUCUUCCAGUACACUGACAUUAGUUCGCCUGUAUUCCCAAGUGAUAGGUACAUUUUUUUAGAGACAUCAUUGAUGGAAUCUUUUGAGGAGUUGGAGAUGGCGUUUAUAAGUAGUCCAUGUUUCACAAGCAUACAGUAAGGUUGGUAGUACAAUAGCUUUGUAAAAAAGUAUUUUGGUUUCCCUGCGAUUAUCCCAGUCCUCAAAAACUCUUUACUUCAUUUGGGGAAAAGCUGCACUCGCCAAGCUCAGGCAAUGCUGGAUUUCAGCAUCAUUGUCGACCCUUGUGGGAAGGUAACUGCCCAGGUACUCUCCUGUGGAUUCCAGCAACCGUUAUUCAGAAUCAUAUUUCCUCUGACAGUGGCCCUCAGGAUUAGUAGCCAUUGAUAGCAUUAUCCUCCAUGAAUAUUUUGAAUCACUUGACUCCUGGAAGUGAGAGCUGAAUAAAUCUCAUCAAGGGGAGGCUCACAUGUUAACUGUAUGCAGUCUGAGCCAUAUUGAGCAAGAUUGUUUUAGCAGCUCCUUGAUGAGAUUUGAUUUUCAGUGCUGUGACUCAUAAUGUGUUGGGCCUUAAUAAUUGUUUCUCGUUCCUCUUUCCUUUGGCAGAUAGGUAGUCACAGACUGACACAUCUGAAAAAGUAACCUCAUGCAUGUUCUACGUGCGGCUGCCUGCGGGAUGGACUUCUGAAUGAAGAUGCACA